GAUGAACGCUGGCGGCGUACCUAAUACAUGCAAGUCGAGCGAACAGACGAGGAGCUUGCUCCUCUGACGUUAGCGGCGGACGGGUGAGUAACACGUGGAUAACCUACCUAUAAGACUGGGAUAACUUCGGGAAACCGGAGCUAAUACCGGAUAAUAUAUUGAACCGCAUGGUUCAAUAGUGAAAGACGGUUUUGCUGUCACUUAUAGAUGGAUCCGCGCCGCAUUAGCUAGUUGGUAAGGUAACGGCUUACCAAGGCGACGAUGCGUAGCCGACCUGAGAGGGUGAUCGGCCACACUCGAACUGAGACACGGUCCAGACUCCUACGGGAGGCAGCAGUAGGGAAUCUUCCGCAAUGGGCGAAAGCCUGACGGAGCAACGCCGCGUGAGUGAUGAAGGUCUUCGGAUCGUAAAACUCUGUUAUUAGGGAAGAACAAAUGUGUAAGUAACUAUGCACGUCUUGACGGUACCUAAUCAGAAAGCCACGGCUAACUACGUG
rnacentral:rRNA from 1 species